rnacentral:rRNA from 1 species
AUUGAACGCUGGCGGUAGGCCUAACACAUGCAAGUCGAACGGCAGCACAGGAGAGCUUGCUCUCUGGGUGGCGAGUGGCGGACGGGUGAGGAAUACAUCGGAAUCUACCUUUUCGUGGGGGAUAACGUAGGGAAACUUACGCUAAUACCGCAUACGACCUACGGGUGAAAGUGGGGGACCGCAAGGCCUCACGCGAUUAGAUGAGCCGAUGUCCGAUUAGCUAGUUGGCGGGGUAGUGGCCCACCAAGGCGACGAUCGGUAGCUGGUCUGAGAGGAUGAUCAGCCACACUGGAACUGAGACACGGUCCAGACUCCUACGGGAGGCAGCAGUGGGGAAUAUUGGACAAUGGGCGCAAGCCUGAUCCAGCCAUACCGCGUGGGUGAAGAAGGCCUUCGGGUUGUAAAGCCCUUUUGUUGGGAAAGAAAUCCUAUCGGUUAAUAACCGGUGGGGAUGACGGUACCCAAAGAAUAAGCACCGGCUAACUUCGUGCCAGCAGCCGCGGUAACAC